GGUGGGUUCAUAGGGAUGAGUGCGGUGUGGGAGUGAGGAUGAUUGAUACAGGAGAACAUGCAGCAGGAUGGAGCAGUGAGGACGAGGAACCACGAGACGAUGUAGGCGGCAUGUGAUGAAUGGAUGGGUGAUGAAAUAAGGCUUUUGAAAAAAAACGCCGCUCAGAGAAAGAGAUUGCCUCCUCGCCGCCCAGCUCAGGCUGGAUAUGAUUGAGCUGUCCUUGUGAUUGGGAGGCUUCCCCCCCCCCAGCCCUCUCUGUCCUCUCAGCCACUAUCUUGAGACUGGUGGUGGCUUGUAACCAUGGCGACAGCUGGUCUUGUUACCUGCGUAGAGGGAGGAGGAGGGAAGCGCGUGACUUUGAAGCUUGGGUUACCAACCACAGCGGAUGGAGGGAGGUUGAAGCUGGGGGUGGAGGGUGGGUGCUUCACACAAAGACCACACUGUUCUCUCCACAGCCAUUCACUGCUAGAGCAGUCAAAGAAGGAAACAAGAUCAAUAGCAUGAAGUAGUUGAUUAGAGUAACUCAAUAUUACGAGUUAAGUUUCCAGAGAUGCUUUUAGAACAGCCAUAUCAGGCGUUCCCUGUCUCUGUCUCUCAUGGAAGUAGAAAGAGUCAUUGCCAUGCUCCACACACCAAGAAUAAACUCCUAAAUGUUUGUCUGACUACAUCACUCCCUGAAGUGACAGAUAUUUACCUAAGCCCCAUUCUGCAAUCACUGAGUUUACACUAAAAGUGAGCAGCAGAGUUUAAUGGAGCCGCCCCAGAAAUGUGAAUGAGGGGACAUUAAUUGCAUGGACAGAAAUGAUUGCAUGUCCCAAUUCUCAGAUAAACCACCUUUGAACUGCACUGAACUCCAAGUUUCUCUGAUUAGCUGCUGUAAUUUGUCACUCCAACUUUAGUGGAUCUGCAGUACGUACCUUGGCCUUUACCAGUCUCAUUUCAAGGCUCCCCUUUGGUCUUUAUUUACACAAUGACUUAUUAUUGAGAGGCUGCUUUGCACAGAGAAGUAAUUAAUUUUUGACUAAUGAUGUGCCAGUUGCUUGACAACAGCAAUUACAUCUUAAUGAGGGAAAAGCUUUGUGUCAAAUGACUGAGAUGCUGCUGGAUUGGUGCUAAAUCGCUUUUAAGCCCACACAAAAGCCAAAAUGACAACAACUGUGGGUUAAAUACACAUUUUCAUUUUGAAAAUUAACUUGGAGAUCAUGAUUUAUAUGAUGACACUGGAUUAAGUGGGCCAUGAAUAUUUUAGAUCGCUAAGAAGUAGUUAAGUGAAAUAUUUUAUAUUUUGUGUUUAUAAGCAUUAAAUGUAUGCUAUUUAACCAAAUUUGUAUUUGUGCUGCAUUCAACUGCAUUUGUCAUUUAUCCUGUAUUGAUAGUUGGGUGAUAAAAAGACUGACUAACUGGGUGA